UGUUAAAAGCACAACAGCCUUAAAAAACACAGAGUAGUUUGAGUGUGGAAGCAGGAUUCAUCACGUCAUCACUUAUUGACCUGAUUGUCGACCAGUCUGAAAUAAUCUUUCAUAAACUGCAACAUUACUCAGUGUUUUUCAUCUGUGUAGAAAGACAGACCUCUAUUCAUCUCUUGCUGAUGAGGAGUUGGAGUAUAAUAAGCCUGUUAUUGACAAAUAUGAAUAACUAUAAAGUGAUCUGUCAGUGAGCCAAGCUAAAGUUAAGCUCAUGUUUGUGUAUGUAUCUUUUUCUAAGCGCUAUGAUUUGUUAUGCAGGUUAUUAGACUGACACUAUUUCCUCAAAAGUGACCAUGACAGUAUCACUAACUGAUGAAUAUUUGAAAUUCUACUGGUAGAUAUUUUACAAUAUUGGUCGGUUGGUUAAUAUAGGUCUUUCUAAUGAAGUUGCCAGUUAGUUUGUGGUUAUUUUUGCCCACCUCUCAGUCUCAAGACUGCGGGAGUCUUUACGCAGAGUCGAUGCAGAAGGAGUGAACAUCAGACGUCUACGGCUGCAUGUAUUAAGACGACGGCAGUAUUCUGUUCCAGGUCCAAACUCCUUAUGGCACAUUGACGGUAACCAUAAGCUAAUAAGAUGGAGAUUUGUUGUCCAUGGUGGCACGGAUGGAUUCAGUCGACUAAUUGUCUACUUGACAGUGGCGGCAACAACAGAGCUAGAACAGUCUUGGAGAGCUUUAUUGCUGCUGUUGAGCAGUACGGACUGCCAUCAAGGGUUCGGUCUGAUAAAGGUGGGGAGAAUGCAGAUGUAGCUGAAUUCAUGAUGAAUACAUCACAUAAACAUUUUCAAUUUUAUUUUAAUCACAGAAUAGAGAGGAUGUGGAGAGAUGUCUACGAGCAUGCCCUAGACCUUCUCUAUCAGAUCGUCACUUCACUGGAACAUCAGGGAACACUUAAUCCAGACAAUGAAAUCCAUCUGUAUGCCUUGCACCGGGUCUUCCUUCCACACAUACAGAGCAACCUCGACUCUUUCAGAGAUGCAUGGAACAGUCAUGGUCUUAGAACUGAACGGAAUCAAUCACCACAGCAACUCUGGAUAAGAUACAGAGACCAAGGCCCCAUGGAGGAUCCUUCAGAGGUUUCUGAAGACUAUGGGAUCGACUGGAACGGGCCUCACACCAUGGAGGCACUACAUCAGUACCUGACAUUCAGCUGGGCCGUGAGCUAUCAGAUGAAGAGCUUGCUACUUUGCCAGUUUCAGGAGUUUCUUUAACAGAUGCAAUUGGAUCAUACUUGGAGACAGUCCAAAUUCUGUCAAGAACCAUAGGAGACUGAUAUACAACCCAAGCUUUUUAUUUAACAUGCUAAAACAAACAGACAUGCGCUGUAAAACAAUUUGCUUUCCUCACAAAAUUUUUAAGUUCAAGUUUUUCCCAUCAUGACAUUUGUCACAUUGAACUUUUUGGUUAACAUAAAAUUAUAAUUUUUGGUUUGUUGUAAAUGAAAAAAAAAAAGUAAGACAUGAAAGCUGGAUGCAGAACUGGUAACUGUCUCUCCCAUUUUAUAUCAAAAUGUAAAACUGCUGUUUAUAAACAUGUGAAACAUUAAACGUGUUUCAUUCCC